GGGAAGCAAGAACUGGGGUAAUCAGCCUGAAAAGACACAAAAAACCAAAGAGAAUAGGUAUGGAGCAAUCCUGUGGACUGUGUCCUCAGUCUUCAGUCAUGUGUGGACUGGUCAGCAUGCAUUGUCUCUUCAGAGUGAGCCUCAAAGGAGCUGUACAGCAGUGGCAAGAAACCUCGGUUGGAAAAGACCUUCACCCUUCACUCUGGGACCUAAGCCCAAGCACCCUGGAGCUGGUACACUCCAUACCCUAACCAGCAGACAGGACAGUAGCCACACUGUGACACAGAAGACCCUCACCAGCUGUGGCCCUUCAACCUUGGACUUCCCAACCACCAGGAUGUGAGAAAUGAAUUUGAUUUCUUCUUCAACUGCCCAGCCCAUUAUAUCACAGCAUCAUAAAACUGACAAGACUCCAUAAAUGUAUUGUCAAAUCAAAUGGAACUUGUGACCACUGUGUUAGCCAACAAUAUUCUAAAGUCUUCAUUGCAUUUCCAAACAUGGACAAAACAGAAAGAGCAGGGAUGUCCGAAUGUUCCAAGUCUGGACAGAGCCCACAGCCCUGCUGCAGUUCCCUACUCAUGGCAGGAGUCAGCAUGCACAGUGUUUGGAGGAGAAAAGACUGGUGGCCUUCAAUCCCAUGAGUAACCUCGGCUCGCUAUGAAACAUUUGUGUGAGUGGGGACACCCCAACAUCAAGCAGUUUCUCAGGAAAGAAACCUGUGGACACUAAGGACCUGGAAAUCACCUUCAAGUCAUAUGUGGUAACAACAAGAUUUGGCCCAUAGGCCAGAACUCGCUGGCUGUGAUCAAAGAUGCUUGAAUAAAGAGAUGAUCCGAUAAGAAACAAGUGCACAAUCCAAAAGUACCAAAUAUGUAAGAGGUUCUUAGCUGGAGAGUCCUUUGAAGAGUUAGUACCUAAUGCCGAGGCAGCUCUCAACUUCCCAAAUCACCUCAAGGCAGCAACCAAAAUUUGAAGAUGCAAGAGCAGAACUGACCAAAGGGUCCCUUCUGGACACACCUCAACUUGCACUCUGUUACAGGAAUGUCAUACACCCCCUUUCACGGGUGACUGCAGGUGGCCACGAAAGCCACACACUUCACAGCUGAGUUACGAGUGAUCACACAAAGGGUUACUCAAUCUGCGCCCACUUGCCUGGGGGCUUUGAGGUGAGCCCUUGGAAGCGUACACAGUCACCUGGGACUUCAAAAGUAAAUCAUUUAGCGCUGUACAGAGUGAAACAAUGGUUCCUGCUGAUUCAUCUUGAUAACACUCGCCAUCCAGCAAUAAAGGAGGUGUGACUAAACUGAACUGCAGGCUUGAUAAAGAAAAUGCUUUGUCUAUCGGGCAGAUAUAAAACUGCAUUAACAAUUACAUAGAUUAUAUGUGAAAUAAUAGAAAGAUCCCAACAACUGUUCACAGUUUAUAAAGCACUUUCUCAUUCCUUA